UCCUACGGGAGGCAGCAGUGGGGAAUAUUGCACAAUGGGGGAAACCCUGAUGCAGCCAUGCCGCGUGUGUGAAGAAGGCCUUCGGGUUGUAAAGCACUUUCAGUUGUGAGGAAAGGUUGGUAGUUAAUACCUGCCAGCUGUGACGUUAACAACAGAAGAAGCACCGGCUAACUCCGUGCCAGCAGCCGCGGUAAUACGGAGGGUGCGAGCGUUAAUCGGAAUUACUGGGCGUAAAGCGCACGCAGGCGGUUUGUUAAGCUAGAUGUGAAAGCCCCGGGCUCAACCUGGGAUGGUCAUUUAGAACUGGCAGACUAGAGUCUUGGAGAGGGGAGUGGAAUUCCAGGUGUAGCGGUGAAAUGCGUAGAUAUCUGGAGGAACAUCAGUGGCGAAGGCGGCUCCCUGGCCAAAGACUGACGCUCAUGUGCGAAAGUGUGGGUAGCGAACAGGAUUAGAUACCCUGGUAGUCCACACCGUAAACGCUGUCUACAACCUGUUUGUGAAUUUAAUCCGUGAGUACCGAAGCUUACGCGCUAAGUAAACCGCCC
rnacentral:rRNA from 1 species